rnacentral:rRNA from 1 species
AUGAACGCUGGCGGUGUGGAUAAGGCAUGCAAGUCGAACGGAACUUGUUUUAUUUAAGAUGCGAUUACAUCAAGUCAAGAAUGCUAUAAGUUUAGUGGCAGACGAGGUAGGAACACGUACGUACUCACCCCGAAGUCGGGCACAACGAGCCGAAAGGUUCGCUAAUUCCCGAUGUUGUGGUAACACCAAAGGAGCAAUCCGCUUUGGGAGAGGCGUGCGGGCUAUCAGCUAGUUGGUGAGGUAAUGGCUCACCAAGGCUAUGACGGCUAGGGGGUGUGAGAGCACGGCCCCCACCGAUGGAACUGAGACACGGUCCAUACACCUACGGGUGGCAGCAGUCGAGAAUAUUCGACAAUGGGCGAAAGCCUGAUCGAGCGACACCGCGUGGAGGAUGAAGUCCUUCGGGACGUAAACUUCUUUUAGCAGGGAAGAAUUCAAUGACGGUACCUGCAGAAUAAGGGCUUGCAAAUCUCGU